CCCCUCUCUUUAGUCCUUACCACCUAUUCUGUAGGAUCUCCCUUGACAAUACAAAUCUAUGGCUAACUUGAUGGACAUGGAAUUUUGAUUUCAGUUCUUGGUUUGAUGUCUUUUUUUUUUUUGAAUAUAAUCAGUAGUUUAAUUAUUAUUUUCUUUCAAUUUUUAGAUAACCUGAUGACUAAUCCAAUCUUGAUUAGGUUGGGU
rnacentral:lncRNA from 1 species